rnacentral:rRNA from 1 species
AGAGUUUGAUCCUGGCUCAGGAUGAACGCUGGCGGCAUGCCUAAUACAUGCAAGUCGAACGAGAGGAAGGAAAGCUUGCUUUCCUGAAUCUAGUGGCGAACGGGUGAGUAACACGUAGGUAACCUGCCCAUGUGCCCGGGAUAACUUCUGGAAACGGAUGCUAAAACCGGAUAGGUAGCAGACAAGCAUUUGACUGCUAUUAAAGUGGCCUUGGCCAUGAACAUGGAUGGACCUGCGGUGCAUUAGCUGGUUGGUGAGGUAACGGCCCACCAAGGCGACGAUGCAUAGCCGGCCUGAGAGGGCGGACGGCCACAUUGGGACUGAGACACGGCCCAAACUCCUACGGGAGGCAGCAGUAGGGAAUUUUCGUCAAUGGGGGGAACCCUGAACGAGCAAUGCCGCGUGAGUGAGGAAGGUCUUCGGAUCGUAAAGCUCUGUUGUAAGAGAAAAACGGCACUCAUAGGGAAUGAUGAGUGAGUGAUGGUAUCUUACCAGAAAGUCACGGCUAACUACGUGCCAGCAGCCGCGGUAAUACGUAGGUGGCGAGCGUUAUCCGGAAUGAUUGGGCGUAAAGGGUGCGUAGGUGGCAGAUCAAGUCUGGAGUAAAAGGUAUGGGCUCAACCCGUACUGGCUCUGGAAACUGAUCAGCUAGAGAACAGAAGAGGACGGCGGAACUCCAUGUGUAGCGGUAAAAUGCGUAGAUAUAUGGAAGAACACCGGUGGCGAAGGCGGCCGUCUGGUCUGGAUUCUGACACUGAAGCACGAAAGCGUGGGGAGCAAAUAGGAUUAGAUACCCUAGUAGUCCACGCCGUAAACGAUGAGAACUAGGUGUUGGGGGAAUAACUCAGUGCCGCAGUUAACGCAGUAAGUUCUCCGCCUGGGGAGUAUGCACGCAAGUGUGAAACUCAAAGGAAUUGACGGGGGCCCGCACAAGCGGUGGAGUAUGUGGUUUAAUUCGAAGCAACGCGAAGAACCUUACCAGGCCUUGACAUCCCUUGCAGAGGUAUAGAGAUAUAUCCGAGGUUAUCAAGGAGACAGGUGGUGCAUGGUUGUCGUCAGCUCGUGUCGUGAGAUGUUGGGUUAAGU